AACAAACGCUGGCGGCGUGCCUAAUACAUGCAAGUCGAACGGGGAAAGCUUUCGGGUGAGUACUAGUGGCGCACGGGUGAGUAACACGUGGGUAAUUUUCCAUAGAGUGGAGGAUAACUAGUCGAAAGAUUAGCUAAUACUCCAUAAGACCACGGGAUCUGCGGAUCUAGGGGUCAAAGGUUUUUCGCUCUAUGAUAAGCCCGCGUAAGAUUAGCUAGUUGGUGAGGUAAUGGCUCACCAAGGCGACGAUCUUUAGCUGGUCUGAGAGGAUGAUCAGCCACACUGGAACUGAGACACGGUCCAGACUCCUACGGGAGGCAGCAGUAGGGAAUAUUGCACAAUGGAGGAAACUCUGAUGCAGCGACGCCGCGUGAGUGAUGAAGGACUUCGGUUCGUAAAGCUCUGUCGUAUGGGAAUAAGAAAGUGAAUGUACCAUGCAAGAAAGGAUCGGCUAACUUCGUGUCAGCAGCCGCCGUAA
rnacentral:rRNA from 1 species